GCAAGCCCACUAUUUUUGAUUUAUAGUAUGUGUAAGGCCGCCAGGGGUGCUGUGUUCAGCGUCUUCUUGGUGGCCGAUCUCGGUUAAUGUUCCUUCUUCGCAAUUGUUCAACAAGGUAGAGCAGACGCUAUUAUAAGUUGUGUCAGAGUCUGAAUAAAAGCUAGAGAAUCAGCAACAAUUUACCUGAGUCAAGUGUCUUCAAAUCAGUAAUUACUUAUCAGAAUUCUGUACAACUCGAUUAAGUAACACUGCUAAUAGGUCAAGCCACGCUACAGUCGUGUCAAAGAAAGAGUGUUGAGCACCUUGCUUAGUCUAAAAGCUGAAUUCAGCCACUCCAGGGAUGUACCCGAGAAGAACUCCAAUUAGUCAUGAAGUAUCUCAGCGUAUCAAUUAUCUCAACAGAAUCAGAAGACUUGGGGUAUAUCAUGCUCGCAUCAAAUUUGGUGAAUUUGGCCCAAGUCUCACCGAACCUGUAGAACCUGAAUACAGGCCAUUGCCCCACGGUGUAACAAUUGAUGCAAAACUAGGUGCCUACGAAGAAGGUUUCUAUAGCAUUGCAAUCAAGUAUCUUCCCCGUGACGAAGCUGUUGCCAUCACCAACAUCAGAGUGAAUGCUGACUAUACAAGAUAUCUAAACUUCC
rnacentral:lncRNA from 1 species